rnacentral:rRNA from 1 species
UCGAGCGAUUCUCUUCGGAGAAGAGCGGCGGACGGGUGAGUAACGCGUGGGUAACCUGCCCUGUACACACGGAUAACAUACCGAAAGGUAUGCUAAUACGAGAUAAUAUACUUUUAUCGCAUGUUAGAAGUAUCAAAGCUCCGGCGGUAUGAGAUGGACCCGCGUCUGAUUAGCUAGUUGGUAAGGUAAUGGCUUACCAAGGCGACGAUCAGUAGCCGACCUGAGAGGGUGAUCGGCCACAUUGGAACUGAGACACGGUCCAAACUCC